rnacentral:rRNA from 1 species
UGGGGAAUUUUGGACAAUGGGCGAAAGCCUGAUCCAGCAAUGCCGCGUGUGCGAAGAAGGCCUUCGGGUUGUAAAGCACUUUUGUCAGAGAAAAAAAGGCAAUUACUAAUAAUAGUUGUUUAUGAUGGUAUCUGAAGAAUCAGCACCGGCUAACUACGUGCCAGCAGCCGCGGUAAUACGUAGGGUGCAAGCGUUAAUCGGAAUUAUUGGGCGUAAAGCGUGCGCAGGCGGUUGUAUAAGAUAGAUGUGAAAUCCUUGGGCUCAACCUGAGAACUGCAUUUAUGACUGUAUAACUAGAGUGUGUCAGAGGGGGGUAGAAUUCCACGUGUAGCAGUGAAAUGCGUAGAGAUGUGGAGGAAUACCGAUGGCGAAGGCAGCCCCCUGGGAUAACACUGACGCUCAUGCACGAAAGCGUGGGGAGCAAACAG